rnacentral:rRNA from 1 species
AAUCAUUGGGCGUAAAGCGCCUGUAGGUUGUUUAAUAAGUCUGUUGUUAAAGACUAGGGCUCAACCCUAGAAAAGCAAUGGAAACUGUUAGACUAGAGUAUGGCAGGGGUAGAGGGAAUUUCUAGUGUAGCGGUGAAAUGCGUAGAUAUUAGAAAGAACACCGGUGGCGAAAGCGCUCUACUGGACCAUUACUGACACUCAGAGGCGAAAGCUAGGGUAGCAAAAGGGAUUAGAUACCCCUGUAGUCCUAGCCGUAAACGAUGGAUACUAGAUGUUGUAUGUUAUUUACAGUAUCGUAGCUAACGCGUUAAGUAUCCCGCCUGGGGAGUACGCUCGCAAGGGUGAAACUCAAAGGAAUUGACGGGGGCCCGCACAAGCGGUGGAGCAUGUGGUUUAAUUCGAUGCAACGCGAAGAACCUUACCAGGGCUUGACAUACUACAGAUUCUUUUGAGAGAGAGAAGUGCCUUCGGGAAUGUAGAUACAGGUGGUGCAUGGCUGUCGUCAGCUCGUGUCGUGAGAUGUUGGGUUAAGUCCCGCAACGAGCGCAACCCUUAUUUUUAGUUACCAAUUCGUUGGGUUCUCUAGAAAGACUGCCGGUGACAAACCGGAGGAAGGUGAGGAUGACGUCAAGUCAGCAUGCCCCUUAUGUCCUGGGCUACACACGUGCUACAAUGGCUAAGACAAAGAGUUGCGAGCUCGCGAGAGUAAGCUAAUCUCAUAAACUUAGCCUAAGUUCAGAUUGUAGGCUGCA